rnacentral:rRNA from 1 species
CAGCAGCCACGGUAAUACGUAGGGUGCAAGCGUUAAUCGGAAUUACUGGGCGUAAAGCGUGCGCAGGCGGUUAUAUAAGUCAGAUGUGAAAUCCCCGGGCUCAACCUGGGAACUGCAUUUGAGACUGUAUGGCUAGAGUGUGUCAGAGGGGGGUAGAAUUCCACGUGUAGCAGUGAAAUGCGUAGAUAUGUGGAGGAAUACCGAUGGCGAAGGCAGCCCCCUGGGAUAACACUGACGCUCAUGCACGAAAGCGUGGGGAGCAAACAGGAUUAGAUACCCGCGUAGUCCCUGUCUCUUAUAA